UGGGGAAUCUUGGACAAUGGGGGCAACCCUGAUCCAGCGACGCCGCGUGGGUGAUGAAGGCCUUCGGGUUGUAAAGCCCUUUUGCCGGGGGCGAUGAUGACGGUACCCGGCGAAUAAGCACCGGCUAACUCCGUGCCAGCAGCCGCGGUAAGACGGAGGGUGCUAGCGUUGUUCGGAAUCACUGGGCGUAAAGGGCGCGUAGGCGGCCGGAUCAGUCGGGUGUGAAAGCCCGGGGCUCAACCCCGGAACGGCACCCGAGACGGUCCGGCUGGAGACCGGGAGAGGAGGGUGGAAUAGCCAGUGUAGAGGUGAAAUUCGUAGAUAUUGGCUGGAACACCGGUGGCGAAAGCGGCUCUCUGGCCCGGUUCUGACGCUGAGGCGCGAAAGCGUGGGGAGCAAACAGG
rnacentral:rRNA from 1 species